CAAUCAUCAUUCUUGUGGCCCAAGGCAAUGGAACAGUUGCUUCUGAAAGCCUCAUGAAUGUCCAUAUCAAUUCAAGUUAACAAAAACAUUAACAUUAUAGAUAUUAUGUAUGAUAUUAAACACUUAGAUAACAUUGUCACCAGAAUUAAAAAAUAAAUUUUGAUUGGCACGAGUGUUCAAUUCACCAUCAUUGUGACAAAUGAUUUUCAACAUGUAAUUCAUCUUCUACCUACGAGAUAGCUUGGUAAGUAGGCAUGGGUGAUUCACACAUAAAAAUUUUUUCCUGGUAAAUCCAAGUGAUGAUUUUGAAUAUAGAAUUCAGUCACAUGCAAUGAUUGACAAUAUAAUCAUUAGAAGAGGAUAAUAAAAAGGUAAUCCAUUUUUACCACACAGAUGAACAGUGACAAGGAAACUGAUGAGUGACAAAAGAGGUCCUUAACAAAGGUUCAAUCAAUGCUUGUGCUUACAUGUCUAAUUAAUGCUUUUGAAUUUGGUGAAUCUAAAAUGGCUCUCUUUUUAUUAUUUAUUUUGUCACUCAAUUUUAGCUUUUUGGCCUUAGCAUCAAUUUGUGUUUCAGUUAUAUAUGAAUUAGACUAACGUCUUGGUUCACUCAACACUAAUCAAUAUUUUUGAAAGGCAAGAAAUGAGAAUGCUUUCAUGUGCAGGUCAACCUCUUCAUUAAUUGCCAUGACAAGUAGCACUCUUUUUUGUUUUUAAGCAAUUCCAUUACAUAAGUUAUGUUCAGAGAGAUAGUUAUAUAGGAUAGUAAAAAAAUAAGAAUUACAUCUCCUACAGAUCGAUUGCUGACAAAGAAAUCUGUGAAGGGGAGAAAAGAAACAAAUGCAUGAAAGAUAGCAAAAGAACCAACAUUAAUACAAACAACACACAGAAGGGAUAGGGCUCAUGAAAAGAACUAACACUAGCCAGUAAAAUGGAAUCAGAACUAGCUUCUUCUUCCCUUUUUUUUUUUUUUUUCUCCUCGUGUAGGUGAGAUAUCUACUUUUGUUUCUUCUUUCAGUGUAAUUUGCAGUUUCUUUUAAUAAAAUGAUUAACUAAAUUGAAAAUUCUUCCAUAUUAGGAAUUUAUUUUCAUUCAAUUGUUGCUUGAUUGUUCAUUGUUGCUCGAAUUUGCUUGGAUGAAUGGUUAAUGGGCUUAUGAUUGGGGAUAAGACCAGGCCUUAGCAAUUUUUGGUUUGAACCAAAAAAUCAAAUCAAACUGAACCAAUUGGUUCAAUCAGUUUGGUUUUCUAGUUCAAUUGGUUCGGUUUGAUUUUAAAUUUUAAUAAAUUUAGGUUUUUAGUUUAGUUUAGUUUUUAACCAAAAAAUCAUAAAACAAAUAUGUGUGUGUGUGUGUGUAUAAGAGAGAGAGAGAGAGAGAGA
rnacentral:misc_RNA from 1 species